rnacentral:rRNA from 1 species
GAUGAACGCUGGCGGCGUGCCUCAGACAUGCAAGUCGAACGAUUAAGACUUCCUUCGGGAAGUGCAUAAAGUGGCGCACGGGUGAGUAACACGUAAGUAAUCUACCCUCGAGUGGGGAAUAACGUCCGGAAACGGACGCUAAUACCGCAUAAUGCAGCGGCAUCGUAAGAUGACAGUUGUUAAAGAUUUAUCGCUUGAAGAGGAGCUUGCGGCAGAUUAGCUAGUUGGUAAGGUAAUGGCUUACCAAGGCUACGAUCUGUAACCGGUCUUAGAGGACGGUCGGUCACACUGACACUGAAUAACGGGUCAGACUCCUACGGGAGGCAGCAGUGAGGAAUAUUGCGCAAUGGCCGAAAGGCUGACGCAGCGACGCCGCGUGAGGGAUGAAGUCCGUUAGGAUGUAAACCUCUUUUGCAGGGGAUGAACGUCUCGCUAUACGCGGGAUUGACCGUACCUUGCGAAUAAGGAUCGGCUAACUACGUGCCAGCAGCCGAC